rnacentral:rRNA from 1 species
CCUACGGGGGGCAGCAGUGGGGGAUAUUGCACAAUGGGGGAAACCCUGAUGCAGCGACGCCGCGUGUGGGACUACGGUCCUCUGGAUUGUAAACCACUGUCCCCAGGGACGAAGAUGACGGUACCUGGGGAGGAGGCUCCGGCGAACUACGUGCCAGCAGCCGCGGUAAUGCGUAGGGGGCAGGCGUUAUCCGGAUGUACUGGGUGUAAAGGGAGCGUAGACGGCAAGGCAAGUCUGGAGUGAAAGCCCGUGGCCCAAACACGGGCCGGCUUUGGAAACCGUGUUGCGGGAGUGCAGGAGGGGUAAGCGGAAUGCCUAGUGUAGCGGUGAAAUGCGUAGAUAUUAGGAGGAACACCGGUGGCGAAGGCGGCUUACUGGACGGUAACUGACGUUGAGGCUCGAAGGCGUGGGGAGCGAACAGGAUUAGAUACCCCAGUAGUC